rnacentral:rRNA from 1 species
CACGCCCUAAACGAUGUCAACUAGGUGUUGGGAGGGUUAAACCUUUUAGUGCCGUAGCUAACGCGUGAAGUUGACCGCCUGGGGAGUACGGCCGCAAGGCUAAAACUCAAAGGAAUUGACGGGGACCCGCACAAGCGGUGGAUGAUGUGGAUUAAUUCGAUGCAACGCGAAAAACCUUACCUACCCUUGACAUGUCAGGAAUCCUGGAGAGAUCUGGGAGUGCUCGCAAGAGAACCUGAACACAGGUGC